rnacentral:rRNA from 1 species
GAUGAACGCUGGCGGCGUGCCUAAUACAUGCAAGUCGAGCGAACGGAAGAGAAGCUUGCUUCUCUGAUGUUAGCGGCGGACGGGUGAGUAACACGUGGAUAACCUACCUAUAAGACUGGGAUAACUUCGGGAAACCGUAGCUAAUACCGGAUAAUAUUUUGAACCGAAGGGUUCAAAAGUGAAAGACGGUCUUGCUGUCACUUAUAGAUGGAUCCGCGCUGCAUUAGCUAGUUGGUAAGGUAACGGCUUACCAAGGCAACGAUGCAUAGCCGACCUGAGAGGGUGAUCGGCCACACUGGAACUGAGACACGGUCCAGACUCCUACGGGAGGCAGCAGUAGGGAAUCUUCCGCAAUGGGCGAAAGCCUGACGGAGCAACGCCGCGUGAGUGAUGAAGGUCUUCGGAUCGUAAAACUCUGUUAUUAGGGAAGAACAUAUGUGUAAGUAACUGUGCACAUCUUGACGGUACCUAAUCAGAAAGCCACGGCUAACUACGUG